GUACUGUAUACACAAUGUGUACGUCAUAUAUGUAAGUACUCAAAAGUCGACUUUAGUAGGAUCCGUAACGUAUACUAGGUUUCAUCAAGUGCACACAAGUAAAACUAAAUGUCAAGUCGAAAAAUGUUUUCACGUAAAAAGGUACGCUGUGAGCAACAAUUGUCUGUAAGACAUCGGUUAUUACACAAAAAUCGAUUAAAUUUCGGUUGGUACAGACGCGUCCCGAAGCACAGUGCAGAUCAAAGUCUUAACGCCAUUGCUCAUUGUAUCAUAAAUCAUUGCGGCCGUGGAUGAUCGUAACAUUGUAAUAUUACGAGAUAUUUACAGCUACGUCAAUGGGUCGUUGGGAUGAUUAUUUUGUUCACGAUGCCCGACUAUCACAGAGACAGAACGUCCGGUAAAUUGGUUUUCGUCCUACGACUAUUUAUUCUCAGUACAAAAA